CUUCCACUCUCACUUUUCUAAUCUCUCUAAUUAUGGCCAUGAUCGGCCCGUGGCUAGCCCCGAAAGAGAGUAGAUCCUGGCUAUAAUAUACCGUCCGUCAGUCAUAUACCAAUGAUCGCCCUAUUGGAGGUCCAAAAGAAAAACUAGCUCUAAUAUCCCAUAGAGAUACAUGCUCUCAAUAAUAUGUACUAAUGAUCAUGGCU
rnacentral:lncRNA from 1 species